rnacentral:rRNA from 1 species
AGAGUUUGAUCAUGGCUCAGAUUGAACGCUGGCGGCAUGCCUUACACAUGCAAGUCGAACGGCAGCGCGGGGCAACCUGGCGGCGAGUGGCGAACGGGUGAGUAAUAUAUCGGAACGUACCCUGGAGUGGGGGAUAACGUAGCGAAAGUUACGCUAAUACCGCAUACGAUCUAAGGAUGAAAGCAGGGGACCGCAAGGCCUUGUGCUCCUGGAGCGGCCGAUAUCUGAUUAGCUAGUUGGUGGGGUAAAGGCCUACCAAGGCAUCGAUCAGUAGCUGGUCUGAGAGGACGACCAGCCACACUGGAACUGAGACACGGUCCAGACUCCUACGGGAGGCAGCAGUGGGGAAUUUUGGACAAUGGGCGAAAGCCUGAUCCAGCAGUGCCGCGUGAGUGAAGAAGGCCUUCGGGUUGUAAAGCUCUUUUGUCAGGGAAGAAACGGUGAGGGCUAAUAUCCCUUGCUAAUGACGGUACCUGAAGAAUAAGCACCGGCUAACUACGUGCCAGCAGCCGCGGUA